rnacentral:rRNA from 1 species
AACGAACGCUGGCGGCAUGCCUAACACAUGCAAGUCGAACGAGACCUUCGGGUCUAGUGGCGCACGGGUGCGUAACGCGGGGGAACCUGCCCUUAGGUUCCGAAUACCUCCCCGAAAGGGGUGCUAAUACCGGUUAAUGUCUUCGGACCAAAGAUUUAUGGCCUUUGGAUGGGCCCGCGUUGGAUUCGCUAGUUGGUAGGGUAAUAGCCUACCAAGGCGACGAUGCAUAGCUGGUUUGAGAGGAUGACCAGCCACGCUGGGACUGAGACACGGCCCAGAAUGCUACGGAAGGGAGGAGUGGGGAAUAUUGUACAAGGGGCGAAAGCCUGAUCCAGCAAUGCCGCGUGAGUGAUGAAGGGCUUAGGGAUGUAAAGCUCUUUUAGCCGGGAUGAUAGUGACGGUACCGGGAGAAUAAGCACCGGCUAACUCCGUG